rnacentral:lncRNA from 1 species
CCUCAAACCUGUGGAACAUGAGAGGAGGAUUUUAUGUUUUUUCAAAUGUUUUACUCAUUAAAAAAAAGCUUUGUUCAGUGUUACUGAUAUUCAAGUUUUAGUAGAAGUAGGAUGUAUUGCUUUGGGGCUGAAAAUCUGAAACCUUCUGAGGGUUGGGUGUUUUUAGAGGCUCAUAAAAUUACUUUUUAAAUUCUUCGGUAUUCUUAUGAUGGCAUUUUAUUUUCCUUUUUUAUAGGCCCACUGGCAUCUCCUUCGGCUUGCCAUCUGGUGUCAUUUGAUUAUGUGGGAGAUCAGGCAUGAACAAAUAUGUGUGCUUGGUUCUCCUGAGAUUACAAUUUGAAAGUUUUACCAUGAAAAAGCCGGGCACCAGGGGGCCGGUGGGUUGAAAUGACUCUUUGAAUAAACACUCUUUGGUCUCUCUCAAUGAGAAUAGAGAGGGAGCGCUGAGCUUUUAACAGCGUUCACAGGACACGAGGCAGGAGGUCGGAGCCGCUGUCUCUGGGCAGAUGUCUGUUUCACAGUGUCUGCGCUGAUCCUAGAGCAGUUUUCUAGUUUCCUUUCGGUCAACAGUUUGAUUUCUGAAGAAGAUCCUGGCAUGCCUGGUUCUGGAGAAGGCCAACUGUUAUUCCCAGUGGGGUUAUCAGACAAAGCACUUCAUGAACUGUGCAGCCACUGGCCUCAGACCAGCUGAAACUGCUUAGCCCCAGUCGUAAAGCAAAAGGUCUCUUCAAGCGAUCCAUAAGUGCUCCUAUCCCCAAGAGUGGAGGCCGCGGUCUGUUCAAGCCACGCAGGAAAGCUUGAAGGAAAACAGCAUGGCAGACAAGUCAGAAGAUCAAAGACCCCCUCAGACGACAGACCCCGUCUCCAGACAUCCAAUCUCUUCCCCUUCAUGGUUCUAAUUAGCAGAUGGUGGAGAAAUGGCUCAUAUUAUGGUUUUAUCAAUUAGAGAGAGACGUUCAUAUCUUUCUUUUUCUUGCUGUCGGCUCAUGAGCAUGGCAUAGAUAGAUGAACUGAGAGAAGGAAAGAGAACCGCUGCUUCAUUUAAUCUGAACAAAUUAGUUCACCAUGGAAAAGGAACAUUUUGGUAUUUUCUUUUCUGAUGACUUUCAGUCUACAAAUGUG